rnacentral:rRNA from 1 species
ACGAACGCUGGCGGCGUGCUUAACACCUGCAAGUCGAACGGAAAGGCCCUGCUUUUGUGGGGUGCUCGAGUGGCGAACGGGUGAGUAACACGUGAGUAACCUGCCCUUGACUUUGGGAUAACUUCAGGAAACUGGGGCUAAUGCCGGAUAGGAGCUCCUGCUGCAUGGUGGGGGUUGGAAAGUUUCGGCGGUUGGGGAUGGACUCGCGGCUUAUCAGCUUGUUGGUGGGGUAGUGGCUUACCAAGGCUUUGACGGGUAGCCGGCCUGAGAGGGUGACCGGCCACAUUGGGACUGAGAUACGGCCCAGACUCCUACGGGAGGCAGCAGUGGGGAAUAUUGCACAAUGGGCGGAAGCCUGAUGCAGCAACGCCGCGUGCGGGAUGACGGCCUUCGGGUUGUAAACCGCUUUCGCCUGUGACGAAGCGUGAGUGACGGUAAUGGGUAAAGAAGCACCGGCUAACUACGUG